rnacentral:rRNA from 1 species
UGGGGAAUAUUGGACAAUGGGCGAAAGCCUGAUCCAGCCAUGCCGCGUGAGUGAUGAAGGCCUUAGGGUUGUAAAGCUCUUUCAGUGGGGAAGAUAAUGACGGUACCCACAGAAGAAGCCCCGGCUAACUUCGUGCCAGCAGCCGCGGUAAUACGAAGGGGGCUAGCGUUGUUCGGAUUUACUGGGCGUAAAGCGCACGUAGGCGGAUCGUUAAGUCGGGGGUGAAAUCCUGGAGCUCAACUCCAGAACUGCCUUCGAUACUGGCGAUCUUGAGUCCGGAAGAGGUGAGUGGAACUCCUAGUGUAGAGGUGAAAUUCGUAGAUAUUAGGAAGAACACCAGUGGCGAAGGCGGCCAACUGGCUCGAUACUGACGCUGAGGUGCGAAAGCGUGGGGAGCAAACAGGAUUAGAUACCCCCGUAGUCCCUGAGCGGGCUGGCAAGGCGCAU